UACAGAGGGUGCAAGCGUUAAUCGGAUUUACUGGGCGUAAAGCGUGUGUAGGUGGUUGGGAAAGUCAAUUGUGAAAGCCCCGGGCUCAACUCGGGAACUGCUUUUGAUACUGUCUGACUAGAAUUCGGUAGAGGGAGGCGGAACUCCAGGUGUAGCGGUGAAAUGCGUAGAUAUCUGGAAGAACACCAAUGGCGAAGGCAACCUCCUGGGCCUGAAUUGACACUGAGACACGAAAGCGUGGGGAUCAAACAGG
rnacentral:rRNA from 1 species